rnacentral:rRNA from 1 species
UACGUAGGUGGCGAGCGUUGUCCGGAAUUACUGGGCGUAAAGGGCGUGUAGGCGGCUUUUUAAGUCAGACGUGAAACCCCUGGGCUUAACCCAGGACCUGCGUUUGAAACUGGAGAGCUUGAGGAUGGGAGAGGAGAGUGGAAUUCCCAGUGUAGAGGUGAAAUUCGUAGAUAUUGGGAGGAACACCCGUGGCGAAGGCGACUCUCUGGACCAAUACUGACGCUGAGACGCGAAAGCGUGGGGAGCAAACAGG